rnacentral:rRNA from 1 species
GAAUUCGCCCUUGGGGAAUUUUCCGCAAUGGGCGAAAGCCUGACGGAGCAAUACCGCGUGAGGGAGGAAGGCUCUUGGGUUGUAAACCUCUUUUCUCAGGGAAGAACAGAAUGACGGUACCUGAGGAAUAAGCAUCGGCUAACACCGUGCCAGCAGCCGCGGUAAUACGGAGGAUGCAAGCGUUAUCCGGAAUGAUUGGGCGUAAAGGGUCCGCAGGUGGCAUUGUAAGUCUGCUGUUAAAGAGUUUGGCUCAACCAAAUAAGAGCAGUGGAAACUACAAAGCUAGAGUGUGGUCGGGGCAGAGGGAAUUCCUGGUGUAGCGGUGAAAUGCGUAGAUAUCAGGAAGAACACCAGUGGCGAAGGCGCUCUGCUAGGCCGAGACUGACACUGAGGGACGAAAGCUAGGGGAGCGAAUGGGAUUAGAUACCCCAGUAGUCCUAGCCGUAAACGAUGGAUACUAGGCGUAGCUCGUAUCGACCCGAGCUGUGCCGGAGCUAACGCGUUAAGUAUCCCGCCUGGGGAGUACGCAGGCAACUGUGAAACUCAAAGGAAUUGACGGGGGCCCGCACAAGCGGUGGAGUAUGUGGUUUAAUUCGAUGCAACGCGAAGAACCUUACCAAGGCUUGACAUGUCACGAAUCCUAUUGAAAGAUGGGAGUGCCUUCGGGAGCGUGAA